CCCCUCCCUCUUAAACAAGCAAAUCUACUUUCUCCAAGUCCUCUGUUCACGCCCUUAAUAAUCAUACUCUUCCUCAUUCUCGGCAUGAUGAAUAGAAGGUGUACAAUGGUUAAAAACUUGAACUCUGACCUAUUCAUAGUCAUCCUCGAUGACUAUGACCUCCAUCCUAAGUAUUCAUAAUAAUAAAAUAAGGCUAAUUUUGGAACCAGAUACCCCAGGAACCCUUACUCGUCAUGAGGAAACAUUAGAACAGGAUUUAGCAGCAUGGACAGCAGUGCACACCUACAUACCCCACCUCAUUCACUGGCCAUAAUUCCAGCCCCCUCCGCUCCCUCCAUCCGAUGGAUUAUGGAUCCACGGUUUCAUCAGCAACAAACCCUUGAUGUUGUGAUAUUGUGUCCCUUGCCAUUUUCCAACUGUGAAACUCUUUAUCCUCUUGGAAUAAAGAAUGAAUCAGAAUCGGUUGCAACUGAUGCCACAACCAACAUUGCACCUAUUGUGUCUAAAGUAAUACAUCUAGUUUACUAAUUUAUUACAUUGACAACGCCCACACUUACACACAGGCCCACUCAACAACAGCUGUGGUCACCAAGAUGAUGACAAGGCAUACUCUCAUGUACAUAUGAACAUUACUAAUCUUAAGGUGCACAAGAUAAGAAUGCAGCAAUUUAGCGGACAGGCUUUAUAAGUGACAUUAAAUGGCUCAUGAGAAUGUGCAGCUCAGUGGAAAUACUAGAUCACCUUUAUGGACUCUUCUGCAGCUUAAAAAGACUAACAGAAACAUGAUCUAUUUUUUAAUGUUGUUACUGUUUUUCCCACUAGAUGGCAGCAUGUAACAGUCGGUUAUUUGUAACCUUCCAACCAUAAACCGCCUGAAGACGUUUCAACAUUCACAAAUACUCAAGCAUUGAUGAUUGGCACAUACAAGCAACAAAUAACGCGUGCGUGCGUGCAUGUCAGAGAUUAGACCCCCAGCAGCGUUGACGGUGACUUUGGCGGUGAAGAACUCCUCCGCGACUGAAGAAAAGAGGCCCGACAGAAUCUGCGGAGGCCAAUAAAUCCAAUGUUCCCCCUGCUCCUUUCAACACUGAACUCCAGGACUCCAUGGCCAGCAGCCAUCAGAGCAGGGAAGGAGUUCAGAUGGGAACUUUGGUUACUCUGAUUCACUCAUCAAUAAAAACAAAGGUUUAGUAAUCUAGACAUGCAACGACAGCCUGUUCUUUUACUCUUAUUCCAGCAGUGGACAAACAAAAGUAAAAGAGAAUGAGGCGUCUAGAUUCUUUCACUCUGCACUUCAUGACUCACUUAUUAUACUAGACUCUGCAUAGCCUCCCCCCCCCACCCCCACCCCCCCACCACACACACACACACACACACACACGCACACACACGCACACACACACACACACACACACACACACACACACACACACACACACACACACACACACACACACACACACACACACACACC